ACUUUUGGUGGAGGAACCAGACUGGAGGUUAACUUGGGUCGAGUCGCCCCAACCCUGAUGGUGCUGCCCCCCUCCAGUCAGGAGCUAAAGCAGGGCAAGGCCACGCUCAUGUGUCUGGCCAACAAGGGCUUCCCCUCAGACUGGAGUCUGGCCUGGAAGGUGGACGGCAGCAGCAGCAGCUUGGAGCAGAGCAGGAGCCCCGCGGUGCUUCAGAAGGACGGCCACUACAGCUGGAGCAGCACCCUGAGGCUCACUGCAGACCAGUGGAGGAAGGUGGGCUCUGUGACCUGUGAGGCCACCCAGGGCUCCCAGACUCCACUCUCAGAGACACUGAGGAGAGACCAGUGUCCCCAGUCCUGA